rnacentral:rRNA from 1 species
UACGUAGGGGGCAAGCGUUGUCCGGAUUUAUUGGGCGUAAAGAGCGUGUAGGCGGUUAGGUAGGUCCGUUGUGAAAACUCGAGGCUCAACCUCGAGACGCCGAUGGAAACCAUCUGACUAGAGUCCGGAAGAGGAGAGUGGAAUUCCUGGUGUAGCGGUGAAAUGCGCAGAUAUCAGGAAGAACACCCGUGGCUAAGGCGGCUCUCUAGUACGGUACUGGCGCUGAGACGCGAAAGCGUGGGGAGCGAACAGG